rnacentral:misc_RNA from 1 species
GAAAUGCGAUAAGUAAUGUGAAUUGCAGAAUUCAGUAAAUCAUCGAAUCUUUGAACGCACAUUGCGCCCCCUGGUAUUCCGGGGGGCAUGCCUGUUCGAGCGUCAUUUCACCACUCAAGCCUCGCUUGGUAUUGGGCGACGCGGUCCGCCGCGCGCCUCAAAUCGACCGGCUGGGUCUUUCGUCCCCUCAGCGUUGUGGAAACUAUUCGCUAAAGGGUGCCGCGGGAGGCCACGCCGUAAAACAACCCCAUUUCUAAGGUUGACCUCGGAUCAGGUAGGGAUACCCGCUGAACUUAAGC